GGGCUGGCGUUCCCCGGAUGGCCCCGGCGUUAGACACCGGGCUGGCCGCCGCUCUCAUCCCAAAAACGGGGGAGGUCGCUUUCUGCUAAAGCUGGGGACCCCUCCGGCCUUACCCACCACCCUUAAGAGUCUGAACGCAGCGUGGGACUGGGAAACGGAUCUACUAAUGUUUAAAAGAAAACUUGUACUAAGUAAAUAGAAGAUGGAUUUCAGAGCGUGCAACUUGCGAAGUCCCCAGUGACUGGUCUUGCAGGAGAGUACAGGCAUUUGUCAUGGACUUUGACUGCACUGCCAAG